rnacentral:lncRNA from 1 species
GAACAAGUCAAAUAUGGUGGUAGCUUCCAAGUUUUUAAAAACUUAUUCAUAAAGGCCAAAAACAUUGCAGAUUAAUACAAUACAUUUUAAAUUCUUCACAGAACAAAAAAAGACUCAAUAAUGUCAAGAAGACUUCUGCUUAUAUUGUAGAAAAGCUAAAUACACUACCCAACAUUGUUAAAGGAAACAAUACAAUCACAAAAUGAGAAGUGUGGUUGCCAAAGAAGACAAUGUGUUAGAAAACAAGUUUCUCUAGCUAACAUAGAAAUCGUUGUCAUAAUAUAUGAAGUCUUACUCGAGAAUUCUCCAAGUACAUGAUUAAGGAAGGUCAAAUGAAAAUUGCAACAACAAAAUCCUAACUCUAAUAGAAUACUAAGUAAACUCUAAUUAGACCAUAACAAUGUUAAGCAAGCUUUAAUCAAAUUCAAAGAAACCUCAAAAGAAUUACAAAGAAAAAAUAAAAAAAACUUAAAAAAAUAUUAAAAUGCUCAGAAAUAUGUCUCAAGUAUAUCUCAAUUCAAUCUUAAUUUAAUCCUAGUUAAAAUCCUAUUGGACUUCAUUCAAACUUUAGGCCAAAAACUAACUAAAUCUUAAACCCUAAAUAAAUCCUAAUAAAAUCCUAAAUCCUAAAUCCUAAACCAAAUCCUAAAUAAAUCCUAAAUCUUAAUCUUAAAUCAAAUCCUAAUCAAAACUUAAAUCCUAAACCAAAUCCUAA